GGCUUCGUGUAAAUAAUAAGAUACGAGGUCGGACCUGCCCAGUGAGUUUUAAACGGCCGCGGUACUCUGACCGUGCAAAGGUAGCAUAAUCAUUUGCCUUAUAAUUGAAGGCUGGAAUGAAUGGUUUGACAAGAAUACUCCUGUCUCUUUUAGAUUAUUUAGAACUUUAUUUCUGGAUGAAAAAGUCUAGAUAUGAUUAAUAGACAAGAAGACCCUAUCGAGCUUUAGAGAAAUUAGUAAACCCAAUAUAAAUCAAUGUAAGUAAAAGAAAGGUUACUAAGCACUUUGGUUGGGGCAACCGAGGAGCAGAAAAAGCCUCCUUUAAUUCUAUAAGUCUUACUUGUGCUGAUCCAAUAAUUUUGAUCAAAGGAAUUAGUUACCGUAGGGAUAACAGCAUAAUCUUUUUUAAGAGCCCAUAUCGAAAAAAAGGUUUGUGACCUCGAUGUUGGACCAGAAUAUCCUAAAGAUGCAGAAGUCUUUAAGGGUUGGUCUGUUCGACCAUUAAAAUUCU
rnacentral:rRNA from 1 species